GGAAGCAGAGACUCAGGCCAGAACAUUCGGAAUGCCUACUGUGUGCUCGCAGCGUGUUCUGCAGACCUAGCGGGUAUGUAAGAGGUGCCCGACUCACCCAGCACAGGGAGCCUGCGUGCGGCCGGGAGCCACCUGUGUUCCCUACAAGAUUCAUGCAGAUUCUUCUCCCAUAAGGUAAUUACAGAGCACUAAGCAGAGCUCCUGGUGCUACAUGGCAGGUCCUCAUCUACAUGGUUGGUUAACACCAAGCGGAGCAUGCUGACC